rnacentral:lncRNA from 1 species
UUCCUGUUGGCUAGCUCCACUUUGCAGGCUGCUUCUGUCACUGGCCACAUUCCUUAACCAGCAGGGAUGGAAUCGGGUGCAGAUUGUGCUGCGGUGUGUGAACCUUCCUUCCUUCAUGACAGGACAAGCUUUUUCGGUGAGAAUUGCAGUCUUUUAUAUUUUUCAGGGACAAGCAUUUCGCAUAGCACCAUUUGGCAGUCUGAUGCAAGCAAGGACUGGCUGAGGCUCAGGCCAGGUAAAGGAAUACAUUAGAGCCACAUUACAGAGCUGCAUAGGGCUCUAUAGGUCUGGGUUAUAUACCUAUAUUGUAGACUUAAAGAUAGUGACCACCAAUUUUAUUUUUCUAAACAAUUAGUAUGUGUGUGUGUGUGUUUAUGUGUGUGCGUGUGUAUGUGUGUGUGUGUGUUUCUGUUGAAAUGUUAGUGAUUAGCCUCCCAAGAAGUAAUUUGAAUUUGCUUUAUUCAGUUCAGUAUCACGGAAACUUUUUCUGUUCUAUCUUCCAUACCCCAUUCCCCAUGGUAGAGAUAUUUCCAUUCAUAAUUGGCACAUUUCCCCCUUUCUGCUUUGAGAUAUUUCAGGCCAAGAAUCCUUGGCAGUUUCAGUUUGACUCUGACAGCCAAAAAAGCUCCCAAAUGUUAAUAACAGAAUCUCUUGGGCAGUUAGCAUCUUAUCAUUUUGGAUUUAUUUGCUGAAGGCCCUUUCCGUCUCUUUACUUAAUUUUUCAAUUAUUCUUGUUACUAGGAAACAAGUAAGGUCCCUCCCUUAUAAUAGUUGAGAAUUGCUCAUUUGGGGUGUCCUGCACGGUGGUGCUUCUGAAAGCUAGCUUUCCCUGGAGCCUCAGAGAAACCAGAGCCCACGAAGGCACUAGGCCAGAGCAAUACCUCUGAAGGGGUCUCUAAGUGACUAUUACCAUUCUCGUUUGCCUUUCUUCUCUUCGGGUCCUCACACUGAUGUUUUCCGUACUUUAAAGAUUAACCUGAUUGAUUUGGCAGUCACAAAUAUUCUUUCUGAAUCUUCCCUGAAUUAUCUUGACCUUUGGAUUGCAAAAGAAGAAAUGGGUCCUUUGGGAUGUGACCACAGUGUCUUGUGGAAAGAGUCCAAGGUUACUAGACAGAAUGGCUUUAGGGUUGUCUACUAUUCCUUUCCAGCUUAACUACAAACCUUUUUCAACACUCACCUUGUGACACUCCAAAAAUACAGCUGAUACAUGGCCUCCAGGCUGAUGUGACUGGACACUGGCCAUGGCCAAAAGGAAAAAAAAAGUAUUUAAAUUGGGUCUGGAUGGAUGAGUGGGACUUUGGUUAAGUGAGGAGAGCAUUCCAGUUAAGGGGGAAGGGGGAAUCCACAAAGACAUGGUAGCAUUGCUGAUGGCAGCUUUGGAAGGAUCAGGCUGAGCAUGCAGGCCUGGUAACAAUGUUAAAGGAUUUGGAAAAGCAAGCCAAGGAUGGACUUGACUCUCAGUGUUUGCAGAAGCCAUCAGCCCUUAGGAAUAAGACGGAGAUGAGAAUGUGGGACCUGGUGUUUUCUGUACUUAAUGUUAAGCAGCUUCUCUUAGUGGCUUCUUGUGCUCCCUCUUCGCCAUACACAGAAGGGAAUGAAUUUGCCUUGAUUAUCCUUAUCUGAGAAUACCAUCUCUUUCCUGUUAGGAUCCUAACUAACACCCCUUCCUUUAGACUUCCUUAUUGUGUUGUUUCUCUGUUCAUCUCUCCACCAGCUUGCAAGUACCCAUGUGUCUAUCCAUACAUCUCUCAGACAUGUUCAAGUCUUCACUCUUUCAGCUUUAACUUACCGUUUAUGGGUCAUUUUGUACUGGAAGAAGUGAUUUCAGGGUCUUGAAAGGUCGGAGCAAAGCAGGGUGCUCAGAAAGUCUUCAGAGAGGAGACUUGCAAUGGACUGUUAGGGCUCUGCAUAGUUGGGAUCUGGGAUGAGAAAGCAGACAGCUCCAUUCCAAGAACAGAGGGAGGUCAGAAAGCAGGAAGCCAACUCUCAGAGCAUGAGCUUUCCUGGAAGCCUUGGUGGACCACAGGAAGAGCCCCAAGUAGCCUGAAUAACCCUAUUUCUGGGCCUGUUACCCUUUUCAUAACAUUUAACCUGGAUUUUGUUUUUUCUUCCUUUGUUUCUUUGAAUCUAAAGUUAGGAAGAGGUUUUUAAAACUACUAGU